rnacentral:rRNA from 1 species
CAAGUCGAACGAGAAAGGGGCUUCGGCCCCGAGUAAAGUGGCGCACGGGUGAGUAACGCGUGGGUAACCUACCCUGGAAUCUGGGAUAACACUGCGAAAGUGGUGCUAAUACCGGGUACGAUCCUCGAGCGGGAGUUUGGGGAUGAGAGCCGGCCUCUUGGUAAAGCUGGUGUUCUGGGAUGGGCUCGCGUCCUAUCAGCUAGUUGGUGGGGUAAUGGCCUACCAAGGCGGCGACGGGUAGCUGGUCUGAGAGGAUGAUCAGCCACACUGGCACUGGAACACGGGCCAGACUCCUACGGGAGGCAGCAGUGAGGAAUUUUGCGCAAUGGGGAAAACCCUGACGCAGCAACGCCGCGUGGGUGAAGAAGGCCUUCGGGUCGUAAAGCCCUGUCAGGUGGGAAGAACGGUCCUUGAGCGAACAGUUUGGGGAUUUGACGGUACCACCAGAGGAAGCACCGGCUAACUCCGUGCCAGCAGCCGCGGUAAUACGGAGGGUGCGAGCGUUGUUCGGAAUCAUUGGGCGUAAAGGGCGUGUAGGCGGCUGGGUAAGUCUGAUGUGAAAGCCCGGGGCUCAACCCUGGAAGUGCAUUGGAGACUGCUCGGCUUGAGUACUGGAGAGGAUGGGGGAAUUCCCGGUGUAGAGGUGAAAUUCGUAGAGAUCGGGAGGAAUACCAGUGGCGAAGGCGCCCAUCUGGACGGAUACUGACGCUGAGACGCGAAAGCGUGGGGAGCAAACAGGAUUAGAUACCCUGGUAGUCCACGCUGUAAACGAUGAGCACUAGGUGUAGCGGGUAUUGACCCCUGCUGUGCCGCAGCUAACGCAUUAAGUGCUCCGCCUGGGGAUUACGGUCGCAAGACUAAAACUCAAAGGAAUUGACGG